GACGAACGCUGGCGGCGUGCCUAAUACAUGCAAGUAGGACGCAGUUGCGAACGGGAGAGUAACGCGUAGGUAACUACAUAUGAGAGGGGGAUAACUAUGGGAAACGAUAGCUAAUACCGCAUACUAGUAGAUGGAGCUGCGUUGUAUUAGCUAGUAGGUAGGGGAAUGGCCUACCUAGGCAACGAUACAUAGCCGACCCGAGGAGGUGAACGGCCACCCUGGGACCGGGAACCCGCCCAGACUCCCUAGGGAGGCCGCAGUAGGGGAUCUUCGGAAAUGGGGGGAACCCUGACCGAGCACCUCCGCGUGAGUGAAGAAGGUUUUCGGAUCGUAAAGCUCUGUUGUGAAGGAAGCGUUACUUAACCAGAAAGGGACGGCUAACUACGUGCCAGCAGCCGCGGUAAUAC
rnacentral:rRNA from 1 species